UAUAUUUGGUUGCGUGCUUAAAAACAUAAAUAAAUGCAUGUAAAAAUGACAGAUACUUUUCCGAUAACAAGUACCAAAACUCGACACUAAGUCACCGACGCUAGUUUGACGCACAUCGAAUAAUUCAUUAUCAACACGUGCAAUCGCUCACUUUUAAAUGAUUUUGUUAAUGUUUUAUGUUCCCCAAAAUCAUGUAAAUUUUAUUGCAUAAUUGCAAAAAAUUAUAUUAUUCACAAUCUACAUUAAUUUUUUUAUAGUUUUAAAAAUUAGGUUUCCGUCAUUCAUUAAGUAUGCUAAUUUAAUAGUGCAAAAGCCUGCAUAUACAAAGAGGAAUUUUUUCCCUAAGGAGUUAAAUAUAGUUCUUUUCCCGGAGAAUUCCGUAAUUAAUCGCGUUAUCUCUGGGACGGUCUCGUGUUCGCUUCCAGGACCUGGCCUUGCGAUUGGAUUUCGGACAACACAUCUACCAUGUCAGAGUUGUCCGUAGCUUGUCUUAUCAGAUCGCCUCCUUCGAGGGUCUCUCGGAUUACACCAACUAUAACAUCUCCUAGUUCUGGUUUAGCAAUAGGAAUGCUGCUAGCUGGUUGCCCUCGCGGUGGGCCGCGCUUGGCCCAAGGGAAAGGCAGUUGAUAGCUUUGGACAAUUCGUCUUGCAUCUUUUUCGGUAUUUAGUGUUUUAUUGUGAACCAUACAAAGAAUUCUUUACCGACUACUUAUAGGGUAUACUUCUUUAAUUUAUUUUCUACUGAUAUAGGGAUGUUUAAAAUAUUAACACAAAAAUGUAAAAUGUGACAAUGAUAAUCAAUUUAAAAAAGCAGUUAAAUAUCAGAAUUAUUCGAAAAAGGAAGUUGAAUUAAUAAGUUAUAAAAGUUGGUUAGUUUCCGUAAAAUAAAUUUGUAUCCUUAUAUGAAAUAUGUUCGCUGAUAUUAUAUUAUAGUUUAUUUUUUGUUAAAUUCUUUCAAAGUGAUUCGUUAAGUUUUAUUCUUAAAGAUUUUUCGUGUUAUUCAAUGCAAUAUGUUCACUUAUGUUUAAUUUUA